AUAUUGGACAAUGGGCGAAAGCCUGAUCCAGCAAUGCCGCGUGUGUGAAGAAGGCCUGCGGGUUGUAAAGCACUUUCAGUGGGGAAGAAAAGCGCAGCGCUAAUACCGUUGCGUCUUGACGUUACCCAAAGAAGAAGCACCGGCUAACUCCGUGCCAGCAGCCGCGGUAAUACGGAGGGUGCGAGCGUUAAUCGGAAUUACUGGGCGUAAAGCGCACGUAGGCGGUUGGACAAGUCGGAUGUGAAAGCCCUGGGCUUAACCUGGGAAUUGCAUUCGAAACUAUCCGACUGGAGUAUAGGAGAGGGAAGCGGAAUUUCCGGUGUAGCGGUGAAAUGCGUAGAUAUCGGAAGGAACACCAGUGGCGAAGGCGGCUUCCUGGACUAAUACUGACGCUGAGGUGCGAAAGCGUGGGGAGCAAACAGG
rnacentral:rRNA from 1 species